rnacentral:rRNA from 1 species
CCCUCCGCCGUAAGUACAAAGCCUCAUUUCCGUGGAAGGCGCGAAUGGCUCAUUAAAUCCACCUAAUAUACUGGAUAGUAUACAGUUACUUGGAUAACUGCGGUAAUUCUGGAGCUAAUACAUGCGUCCGAGCCCCGAACUUACGUGAGGGGCGCUUUUAUUAGAUCAAAACCAAACGGCUUCGGCCGUCAUCUGGUGAUUCUGAAUAACUUUGGGCUGAUCGCACGGCUUCACGCCGGCGACGUAUCCUUCUAAGGUGUGCCCUAUCAACUGUCGACUGUGGCAUAGACGCCCACAGUGGUUUUGACGGGUAACGGGGAAUCAGGGUUCGAUUCCGGAGAGGGAGCCUGAGAGACGGCUACCACUUCUAAGGAAGGCAGCAGGCACGCAAAUUACCCACUGGUCGAAGACCGAGGUAGUGACGAAAAAUAACGAUACCGGACUCAUCCGAGGCCCGGUAAUCGGAAUGAGUACACUUUAAAUCCUUUAACGAGGAACAAUUGGAGGGCAAGUCUGGUGCCAGCAGCCGCGCUAAUUCCAGCUCCAAUAGCGUAUAUUAAAGUUGUUGCGGUUAAAAAGCUCGUAGUUGGAUUUCGGCGACCAGGGGGCGGUUCGGUAUUUGCCGCUACUGCCCCAUUUGGUCGUGUUUUUUGGCGGAGGCUGGCGGGUGCUCUUAAUCGGGUGUCCGUCCGCGCCGUCAGGUUUACUUUGAAAAAUUAGAGUGCUCCAAGCAGGCUUUACACGCUUGAAUAUUUGUGCAUGUAUAUGGAAUAGGACGUCGUUUCUAUUUUGUGUUUUCGGAAUCGACGUAUGAUUAACAGGACAGUCGGGGCAUUAGUAUCAGACGACGAGGUGAAAUUCUGACGUCUGAGACUACUACUGCGAAGCAUUGCCAGAUGUUUCAUAUCAGACGAAGUAAGUUCGAAGGCGAUCAGAUCCGCCUAGUUCUACAUAACGAUGCAGCUA